rnacentral:rRNA from 1 species
AACGAACGCUGGCGGCAGGCCUAACACAUGCAAGUCGAGCGCCCCGCCAGGGGCGCGGCGGACGGGUGAGUAACGCGUGGGAAUAUGCCCUUUGCUACGGAAUAGUCUCGGGAAACUGGGGGUAAUACCGUAUACGCCCUUUGGGGGAAAGAUUUAUCGGCGAAGGAUUAGCCCGCGUUGGAUUAGGUAGUUGGUGGGGUAAUGGCCUACCAAGCCGACGAUCCAUAGCUGGUUGGAGAGGAGGAUCAGCCACCCUGGGACUGGGACCGGGCCCAGACCCCUAGGGGAGGGAGCGGGGGGGAAACUUAGAAAAGGGGGGCAACCCUAAUCAGGCCUUCGCGGGGAAGGGAGGAGGGCCUUGGGGUUUAAAAGCUUUUUCCGCGGGAAGAAUAAUGCCGGUACCAGAAAAAAAACCCCCGGCAAACUCCGU